UCAGCCAUGAUCGGUUGUAUGAUGAACGGAGCGGUUCCAAUCCGCCGCCAUCCUCCCUGACUGCCGUUUUUCUGGUCCCGGAUAGACUAGUAUCUGGGUUUCCAUUGCUUUAACAUCUUCAUUAGAUUCCCUUUCGAGUGUUGAAUGGAAGUGAUCAUGCAAGCCCUUGUUUCCUAUGGGGUGGCUGUCUAGAAACAUUGAGACAACAUGGCUCAGUUGUGCCGUACUCCUAAUGCAAGAAUGGCAAACGUACUGCAUGGUUUUCAAUCUAACCAUGCCUCUGG